rnacentral:rRNA from 1 species
CGGCGAGUGAGCGGCAGAGCUCAAAUUUGAAAGCUGGCCCCCUCGGGGUCCGCGUUGUAAUUUGCAGAGGAUGCUUCGGGUGCAGCCCCCGUCUAAGUGCCCUGGAACGGGCCGUCAUAGAGGGUGAGAAUCCCGUCUGGGACGGGGUGUCUGCGUCCGUGUGAAGCUCCUUCGACGAGUCGAGUUGUUUGGGAAUGCAGCUCUAAAUGGGUGGUAAAUUUCAUCUAAAGCUAAAUACUGGCCGGAGACCGAUAGCGCACAAGUAGAGUGAUCGAAAGAUGAAAAGCACUUUGAAAAGAGAGUUAAACAGCACGUGAAAUUGUUGAAAGGGAAGCGUUUGCGACCAGACUCGCCCGCGGGGUUCAGCCGGCACUCGUGCCGGUGUACUUCCCCGUGGGCGGGCCAGCGUCGGUUUGGGCGGCCGGUCAAAGGCCCUCGGAAUGUAUCACCUCUCGGGGUGUCUUAUAGCCGAGGGUGCAAUGCGGCCUGCCCGGACCGAGGAACGCGCUUCGGCUCGGACGCUGGCGUAAUGGUCGUAAAUGAC